AGUUUAAUAAAAAAACAUUGGUCUUGUAAACCAAAGAGUGAAGAUUACACCUCUUC
rnacentral:tRNA from 1 species